AACGCACAUUGCGCCCGUCAGCAUUCUGGCGGGCAUGCCUGUUCGAGCGUCAUUUCAACCCUCAGGACCCCCCUUUCGCGGGGAGGGACCUGGUGUUGGGGAUCGGCCCGCCCCCCGCGGCGGCGCCGUCCCCGAAAUCUAGUGGCGGUCUCGCUGCAGCCUCCCCUGCGUAGUAGUUACAACCUCGCAUCGGAGCGCGGCGCGGCCACGCCGUAAAACCCCCGACUUUCUGAACGUUGACCUCGGAUCAGGUAGGAAUACCCGCUGAACUUAA
rnacentral:misc_RNA from 1 species